UGUAGCUAUCUGUUUGUUGUCUCCUGUCCAGGGCAUCAUAAAUAUAUUGGUCUUGUCUUGUUCUUUACUACUAGUCCUACUCAUGCCUCCCUGAUGGACUUUGUUCCUCUUCAAGUUAUUUCGGUUUCCAAGUACUUGCUUGCUUCUCAUUGCGACAAUGCUUGUAGAAACGUAUAUACAUAUGAAUUUUCAAGCUUGUGUGUAGCUCAGUCAAGUGUUUGCUGUUGGCACCCUCAAGUUCAUCCCCAUCUCUUUUGGUUAAUAAAUAAUUUCUUGCUGCUGCUCGUCCUGAAUAUGGAGCGUGUCUUGAAGCUGAAUAAUGUCCAACAGGUUCAGGACGACUUCCUCCACCGGACGCGGGGGAAAAGAACGAGUUCAAUGGAUAGGAUUAUCACGAGGAGGACUGUAUGGUAGCUGGAAGAAGCUGUAGUAGCUGCCCGCAGCAGCCUCAUGCUCAUGGCAAGGGCUCCAGCGGUGCUGCUGCUGCUGGGUACACCCUCGCCUCCCACGCCGCAACCGUGGGGUGCUGGCAAUGGCUACACCAUCUCCGGUGAUCUGCUCAGAGUUUUGAACAAGAUGGCUAGUGGUGGGAUAUAUCGACUUGGUCACUCGGGAUGCCGCUCACCACCGUGCUCACUGCGAGAUCCUUCCUGCACCAGGAAAAGUGGAUGCAGAGUUUUGAACAAGCUGGCUGGCAGGAGAUAUUGAGUUCACCAACUUGGUCGCCUGGCAUGCUACUCGCCGCCCUGCUCACUACGAGGUCCUACCCGUACCAGGCAAAGUGGAUGUUGCAGGUAGUUAUUCUUUGAGCUAUGCAUUUCUUCCACUGUUCUGUGGAAAUCAAAUCGUGUUCGCAAUUAUCUCUGUGGAGGUCUAGAGAAUAGUACAUACGGAUUUUCAUUUACAGCCUAAACUCAUCCUAUUACAUCAUAUGAGUUUUAUUUCCACAAAUUCUUAGAUUAUGCAAUUCUUGCACAUAUCAGAGUGUAUAUUAUAGAUAUAGUACUGCCACUUGAUAAAAUGACCAUUACAGUGCCUUCAACCUUAUCUAAUGUCCAGUAGUUUUCUCUCUUUCUUGGUGAUCAGAGUUUAGAAUGAGAUUGCUGUAUGUAAUUCUGUGUACGUGUGUGUGUGUGUGUUGAUGAUUAACCGAAACUGAAAUACCUUUUCAUCAAGUCUGUUUGUAACCUGGCAUUUUCUUAUGUCUCAGCUUCGCUCUCUGAACAUUUAAACUAGCCAUUAUCCGAGAUGUACUUUUUCCAUAUUAGUACAUGGUUAGGUUUUCCUCAUUCUCCAAACAAAUGUUUUCUUGUCCCUUCGUAUUAACUACGGCGCACCAAAUCAGGGCUGCUACUAGAGCCGGAUUCAUAGCCUGAUUUUCUUAAGUUUGACCACAGAGAUAGUAAAACUAACGACUUAUUCACUUGGUUUCCUUUUGUUGUUGUUGUAGAUUAAUUUGUUAGCAGUCAUUUCUGUACACGUCUGAUUAGGACUCCAUUCUAAUGAAAGCUGA